rnacentral:lncRNA from 1 species
CACCUCAAACCCCGGAGACCCCCCUCUGUACCUUGAGCAGGAUCUCCACAGUGAAGAUGGAGGUGAAGGCGUAGUCGAAGUAUCCCAGGAUCUGGGGGGUGGGGAGGGGGAACGGGGUGACCCCGACCCCUCCCAAACCCCCCCAACCUCCUGGACCCCCCAAACACCCCCAGAGUCCCCCUGAACCCCUCCUUGCCCUUCCCAGCCCCCCCCAUUUCUGACCCCAAAUCCGGAUCCCGUGUGGGGUGAAUUCCCCCACAGCCCUCCAGUGCCCCCAGUCCCUCCCAGUUUGCCCAGUAGCCCACGUGGUUGCGGGGCGAGUGGGCGCGCACGGGGUCCUCUGCGGCCAGGGAGAUGCUGCUGAGGAUGAUGAAGACGAGGAUGAGGUUGGUGAAGAUGUGGUGGUUGAUCAGGGCGUGGCACUUCACCCGCAGCCUGCGCCAGGCACACGUCAGCUCCCAGUCCCACCAGUGCUCCCAGUCCAUCCCAGUGCUCCCAGUCCCCCCCAGUGCUCCCAGUCCAUCCCAGUGCUCCCAGUCCCCCCCAGUGCUCCCAGUCCAUCCCAGUGCUCCCAGUGCCCCCAGUGCUCCCAGUGCUCCCAGUCCCCCCAGUGCUCCCAUUCCAUCCCAGUGCUCCCAGUCCCCCCAGUGCUCCUAGUCCAUCCCAGUGCUCCCAGUCCCCCCAGUCCCCAGUGCUCCCAGUCCAUCCCAGUGCUCCCAUUCCAUCCCAGUGCUCCCAGUCCCCCCCAGUGUGUGUCUCCAGUCCCAGUCCCCCCACUGCUCCCAGUCCAUCCCAGUGCUCCCAGUCCCCUCCAGUGCUCCCAGUGCUCCCAGUCCCCAGUGUUCCCAGUCCCUCGACUGCUCCCAGUCCAUCCCAGUGCUCCCAGUCCCUCGACUGCUCCCAGUCCAUCCCAGUGCUCCCAGUCCAUCCCAGUGCUCCCAGUCCUCCCCAGUGCUCCCAGUGCCCCCAGUGUUCCCAGUUCCCCCAGUGCCACUCACGGGUUGGUGCUGCUCAGCACGAAGAAGGCGCUGCCCUCGGGGAUCGGGGUCACCUUGGGCUUGGGGGCCUCUUCCAGGGACUCCAGCCGGGCCCUCCCCAGGCUGUCACGCUCCCCCCGGGCCUCCUCGUCACCUGCAAGGGACCCCGUGUCCGGUCACUGUCACAUCCCCCCUCCAGGGUUCCUCUGUCCAGGUUGUCCACGGCGAUGGCCAGGAAGACGUUGAGGAGGAUGUCUGAGGGGAGCAGAGGGCUCACCAGUGCUCCCAGUCCCUCCCAGUGCUCCCAGUCCCUCCCAGUCCCUCUGAUGCUCCCAGUGCUCCCAGUCCCCCCCAGUACUCCCAGUGCCCCCAGUGCCCCCAGUGCCCCCAGUCCCUCCCAGUGCCCCCAGUCCCUCCCAGUCCCUCCCAGUGCUCCCAGUCCCUCCCAGUGCCCCCAGUCCCUCCCAGUGCCCCCAGUACCCCCAGUACCCCCAGUCCCUCCCAGUCCCUCCCAGUGCCCCCAGUCCCUCCCAGUGCCCCCAGUCCCUCCCAGUCCCUCCCAGUGCUCCCAGUCCCUCCCAGUGCCCCCAGUCCCUCCCAGUGCUCCCAGUCCCUCCCAGUACCCCCAGUCCCUCCCAGUACCCCCAAUGCACCCAGUGCUCCCAGUCCCUCCCAGUACCCCCAGUCCCCCCAGUCCUUCCCAGUGCCUCCCAGUCUCUCCCAGUGCCCCCAGUCCCUCUGCUGCUCCCAGUCCCCCCAGUGCCCCCAGUCCCUCCCAGUCUCUCCCAGUGCCCCCAGUGCUCCCAGUGCCCAGCCUGCCCACGCACAGUUCCCGCAGAUGAAGAGGAUGACGAAGUAGACGCAGACAAGCAUCCCGGGGAACACGGGGCCGCCGUAGGCCAUGAUCCCAUCAUACAUCACCGCGUUCCAAUCCUCCCCCGUCAGGAUCUGGGCGAGUUGGGGGUCCCCAAACACCAGGGGCACCCCA